rnacentral:rRNA from 1 species
UGACUUCGGUUGUGGUGAAAGUGGCAAACGGGUGAGUAACGCGUGGGAAUCUGCCCAGAGGUAGGGAAUAACCGCGGGAAACUGCGGCUAAUACCCUAUGUGCCCUACGGGGCAAAGAUUUAUCGCCUUUGGAGGAGCCCGCGUCGGAUUAGGUAGUUGGUAGGGUAACGGCCUACCAAGCCUACGAUCCGUAGCUGGUCUGAGAGGAUGAUCAGCCACACUGGGACUGAGAUACGGCCCAGACUCCUACGGGAGGCAGCAGUGGGGAAUAUUGGACAAUGGGGGCAACCCUGAUCCAGCAAUGCCGCGUGAGUGAUGAAGGCCUUCGGGUUGUAAAGCUCUUUCGGCGGGGAAGAUGAUGACGGUACCCGCAGAAGAAGCCCCGGCUAACUUCGUGCCAGCAGCCGCGGUAAUACGAAGGGGGCUAGCGUUGUUCGGAAUUACUGGGCGUAAAGGGCGCGUAGGCGGUGCUGUAAGUCAGGCGUGAAAUCCCCGGGCUCAACCUGGGAAUUGCGUUUGAUACUGCGGCGCUGGAAUGCGGGAGAGGAUGGCGGAAUUCCCAGUGUAGAGGUGAAAUUCGUAGAUAUUGGGAAGAACACCGGUGGCGAAGGCGGCCAUCUGGCCCGUAAUUGACGCUGAGGCGCGAAAGCGUGGGGAGCAAACAGGAUUAGAUACCCUGGUAGUCCACGCCGUAAACGAUGAGUGCUAGACGUCGGGGAGCUUGCUCUUCGGUGUCGCCGCUAACGCAUUAAGCACUCCGCCUGGGGAGUACGGUCGCAAGAUUAAAACUCAAAGGAAUUGAC